rnacentral:rRNA from 1 species
UUCUUCUUCGUAUGGUGGGCCUGCGGAAGGAU